UACAGAGGUCUCGAGCGUUAGGCGGAAUCACUGGGCUUAAAGCGUGUGUAGGCGGAUCGGUAAGUACCUUGUGAAAUCCCACAGCUUAACUGUGGAACUGCUUGGUAUACUGCCAGUCUUGAGCCAGCUAGGGGCUACCGGAACAAAUGGUGGAGCGGUGAAAUGCGUAGAUAUCAUUUGGAACGCCAAUGGUGAAAACAGGUAGCUGGGGCUGUGCUGACGCUGAGAAGCGAAAGCAUGGGGAGCGAACAGG
rnacentral:rRNA from 1 species